CGGGGUGGAGUAAUGUCUGGGAAACUGCCUGAUAGAGGGGGAUAACUGCUGGAAACGGUAGCUAAUACCGCAUAACGUCGCAAGACCAAAGAGGGGGACCUUCGGGCCUCUUGCCAUCGGAUGUGCCCAGAUGGGAUUAGCUAGUAGGUGGGGUAACGGCUCACCUAGGCGACGAUCCCUAGCUGGUCUGAGAGGAUGACCAGCCACACUGGAACUGAGACACGGUCCAG
rnacentral:rRNA from 1 species